AGAAUCAACGCUGGCGGCGUGCCUAACACAUGCAAGUCGAACGAGAAAGUGGAGCAAUCCAUGAGUAAAGUGGCGACCGGGUGAGUAACACGUGACUAACCUACCUUCGAGUGGGGGAUAACAUCGGGAAACCGAUGCUAAUACCGCAUAACAUCGCAAGAUCAAAGCAGCAAUGCGCUGGAAGAGGGGGUCGCGGCUGAUUAGCUAGUUGGCGGGUAACGCCCACCAAGGCGAAGAUCGGUAGCCGGCCUGAGAGGGCGCACGGCCACACUGGAACUGAAACACGGUCCAGACUCCUACGGGAGGCAGCAGUGGGGAAUUUUGCGCAAUGGGGGAAACCCUGACGCAGCAACGCCGCGUGGAGGAUGAAGCCCCUUGGGGUGUAAACUCCUUUCGACCAAGACGAUAAUGACGGUACUGGUGGAAGAAGCACCGGCUAACUCUGUGCCAGCAGCCGC
rnacentral:rRNA from 1 species